rnacentral:rRNA from 1 species
GACGAACGCUGGCGGCGUGCUUAACACAUGCAAGUCGAGCGGAAAGGCCUCUUCGGGGGUACUCGAGCGGCGAACGGGUGAGUAACACGUGAGUAACCUGUCCUUGGCUUUGGGAUAACCCUCGGAAACGGGGGCUAAUACCGGAUAUGACCUUGUCCUGCAUGGGGUGGGGUGGAAAGUUUUUUCGGCUAGGGGUGGGCUCACGGCCUAUCAGCUUGUUGGUGGGGUGAUGGCCUACCAAGGCGACGACGGGUASCCGGCCUGAGAGGGCGACCGGCCACACUGGGACUGAGACACGGCCCAGACUCCUACGGGAGGCAGCAGUGGGGAAUAUUGCACAAUGGGCGGAAGGGUGAUGCAGYGACGCCGCGUGAGGGAUGACGGCCUUCGGGUUGUAAACCUCUUUCAGCAGGGACGRAGCG